rnacentral:rRNA from 1 species
GAUGAACGCUGGCGGCGUGCCUAAUACAUGCAAGUCGAACGAACGGACGUGCUGUUUGUUUCUCUGAUGUUAUCGGCGGACGGGUGAGUAACACGUGGCUAACCUACCUUUAAGACUGGGCUAACUUCUAGACACCGGAGCUAAUGUCGGAUUCUCUUUUGAACUGCAUGGUUCUACAGUGGAAGACGGUCUUGCUUUCAGUUAUAGAUGGAUCCGCGCUGCAUGAGCUAGUUGGUAAGGUAACGGCUUACUAAGGCAACGAUGCAUAGCAGACGUGGGAGGGUGAUCGGCCACGCUGGCACUGGGACACGGUCCAGACUCAGACGGGUAGGAGCAGUAGGAAAGCUGCCGCAAGGGGAGAAAGCCGGACGGAGCAACGCCGCGUGAGUGAUGAAGGUCUUCGGAUCGGAAAUCUCUGUUACUAUGGAAGAACAGAUGGGUAAGUGGCUGUGCACGUCGUGACGGUACCGAAACAGAAAGCCACGGCUAACUACGUG